rnacentral:rRNA from 1 species
CCUACGGGGGGCAGCAGUAGGGAAUAUUGCUCAAUGGGGGAAACCCUGAAGCAGCAACGCCGCGUGGAGGAUGAAGGUUUUCGGAUUGUAAACUCCUUUUGUUAGAGAAGAUAAUGACGGUAUCUAACGAAUAAGCACCGUCUAACUACGUGCCAGCAGCCGCGGUAAUACGGAGGGUGCCAGCGUUAUUCGGAAUCACUGGGCGUAAAGGGCGCGUAGGCGGGAUAGCAAGUCAGCUGUGAAAUCCUAUGGCUUAACCAUAGAACUGCAGUUGAAACUGUUAUUCUAGAGUAUGGGAGAGGUAGGUGGAAUUCUUGGUGUAGGGGUAAAAUCCGUAGAGAUCAAGAGGAAUACUCAUUGCGAAGGCGACCUGCUAGAACAUAACUGACGCUGAUGCGCGAAAGCGUGGGGAGCAAACAGGAUUAGAUACCCUUGUAGUC